CGUCACUGUCUGGAAGGGACUUGCACAUGACACCCCAGUUGCUGGUUCAUCGCACACUGCCUUCCUAGGUCUCCUAGUUGGUCUCCUAGAUGGACAUGCAAUUAUUUUUGACCAAGCCAGAUUUCCGGAACCCCAGGCCAAAGGAUGGUUUUUGGAAUGAUCUUUAUUCUUUGGAGACCAGGAAACAUUUACAUCUAAAGGCAGGAACAAUUCCUACCAGACAGGUGGGGCGGGGAAGGAACCUGAUUCUCCACUUAGGACGGAGCCAUCAAGGUCUUAGGAAACCACAGGCCUGAGAAAGGGUACACAGGCUUAAUUUCUGAUCAAAAUAAGAUAAAAGUUCUGCUGGGAAUCUCACCAACAGCCCAACCUGAGUCAAAGGCUCUCAGUGCUGCUUUUGACCUUUCUGGUACCACAGAAAAAAGAUCUACAAGCUCUCUCUUUGCUGUUCUCUUGACAGUGAGGGAAGAGGGUGGAUUCCAGGCCCCUGGCUCUCUUCACCUCCAGUGGGGCAGGGACAAGUUCAUUUCCUUCUGCGUGUGUUCCUCUCAGGAAUUUCUGCUCAUCCCUUUGGAAGCAGACCCAGGUCCAGUCAAGGCCCAGCCUCUCAGCCGUCCGGCUUUGGUUGUACAAAUCAAGUGCAUUUGGCCCUGGAAGCAGCAUUUUAAAAAUCCAGAGUCUAGCAAAGGAGAGUGUGAGAAGGAAGAAGAAGAAGAAGAAGCCUCUCCUUUGGCCACUGAGUCCUCCUCAUUUGAAGUGGGGAUUCCUUGGAGGCCACACGUGGUUCAUUUCUCUGAAAAAUUAUGAUUUGCCAAACACAACUCCGGCCCGUUCCGAUGUGAUCAGUUGCUUGGGGCGCGGCCCAGGAACUGCUCUUUGGAGUCAAGAGUCAGAGAAAGCAUCAAAUCAAUACGGAGCUGUAAACGGGUCCCCAGCCCGUACCCCUUUGUUAUUUCUACUGGUUUGUUCUACAGACCCUUAAUUCUAUUAUCCAGCUUUAAUUUGGCUCUGUGUCUCUCCAACAUUUUUUUUUCUUUCUUCUGCGCCCUUUCUCUUUAAUCGAUUGAUUCAUCUGUAAUUGGAUUUUCUCUGGCUGUUACCAGCUAUUAAAAGUAGCUCUGCGUGUGUAUGUGAGUGAGUGUGCUUUCUAACUAGGCCACGGUUUCGAAUGCCUGGCAAUCCUGACUCUUGCUCAGGUUCCUUAGAACGAAUUCAAUUCCCUAAUUCCUUCUUAGGCAGUGGGGAGUCAGAGAGAGAACGCAGGCUUUAGAAGCAGAUAGCACCGCACCAUAUCGUGUUUGGUUCUGUUUGUUUAGUGUAAGGCGGACAUUUAUUGAGCUCAUAUUACUGGGCCAGGAGUCUUUCCAAGCACUUUACAAGCAUGAAUAACCCUCACUGCAUCCUUUUAAGGUAGGUACUGUUAUUAUUCCAUUUUACAGAUAAAAGGAUGGCAUCAGAGGAGGUUAAGGGACCCACCCAUGGUCUCACAAUAGCACUUGAUCAUGAUGCAGUUUUCCAAAAUUCUACCCCUUCAUACCUGAGUAAAUUGGGGGGGGGGGGGUUUGUUAUGUUUUUUUCUUUUUAGGGCCGCACCUGAGGCAUAUGGAAGUUCCCAGGCUAGGGGUUGAAUUGGAGUUGCAACGCUGCCCUACACCACAGCCACAGUGAGACCAGAUCUAAGCUGCAUUCACCACCUACACCUCAGCUUGUGGCAGUGCCAGAUCCUUAACCCACUAAGCAAGGCCAGGGAUCAAACCCGCAUCCUCAUGGAUACUAGUCGAAUUCUUAACCCUCUGAGCCACAACGG
rnacentral:lncRNA from 1 species